ensembl:lncRNA
CAGGUAAUAGCAGGGCUUAACAUGUUUAGAUGAAAAGUUGGAGCAGACUGUCGACUAAAUUGCAAAAUCUGCUGAUAGUUUUCCUUGUGUAGGAUUUCAUUCCCUUCAUAGAAUACCAGGAAUCAUUUCCUCCUUUUCUCUUAUUGAGUGAUUAUUGAUUGCUCUGAGCUAGUUAUUACCAUACUAAGGAGAGAACAGCUUGUCGUAAGUUCUACUGAUAACUUUAUUUUUCUUUUAUCAGUCCUCUGAAAGAAACAUGAAGAUGAGGCAUUUUAGAAUGACAAACGCUAGUCAUGUGGUCAAGUGUGACCACUUGUCCUGCCUUUUGCAACGCUUCUUUAAUGGAGUCUUUCUGCUGCUAUGUGAAGAAACUUGAGUUGGCCUCCUGGAAGAUAAUGCAGAAGUGAAAGACCCCCAGCUGUUCUAGUACAACUAUCCAGCCAUUCCAGUUGAGACCAUCCUGUGUUACUAAGAUUAUACCAGAAGACCAGACUGGCCAGUUCAAAAGGUUAUGUUAACCUUGAAGAAUUGAUGCUUUCAAACUGGUGCUGGAGAGGAUGCUUGAGCGUCCCUUGGACUGCAAGGAGAUCAAACCAGUCAAUCCUAAAGAUAAUCUACCCUGGAUAUUCUCUGGAAGGGCUGCUGCUGAAGCUGAAACUCCAAUACUUUGGCCACCUGAUGAAAAGAGCCAACUCAUUAGAAAAGACCCUGAUGCUGGGAAAGACAGAGGGUAGAAGGAGAAGGGGACAACAAAGGAUGAGAUGGUUGGAUGGCAUCACCAACUCAAUGGACAUGAGUUUGAGCAAACUCUAGGAAAUGGUGAUGGACAGGGAAGUCCAUGGGGUCACAAAGAAUGGGGCAGGACUUAGUGACUGAACAACAGCAAACAGCCUUUAGAAGUCAUGGGAGAGUGGAAGAAAUGUUGUGAAGAAAAGAAGUUCGCAAGCAUAUUUGCUUCACUAAAGCUGUCCCCUCAAAUUACGAGAACCUGUCGCUCUCUAGUAUGGUGGCCUUACCGCUUUGUUUAAAAUGAUGGAUUGAUGGGACAAAUCCUGUGGUGGCAUUCAGGAAGUUUAUAGGAUUGGGUUAGAAAGAGGAAAAGUCGAGUUGAGAAGGAAAAACAGAUGAGAGAGGAGUACUGAAGAAAAAUCUAUGCAGCAAUUCUUGGCUGGGUCUGGUAGCCAGCCUAGGAAGUAGAGAGGCAUUUGGGAGGUCAUGGUGACAGUCUGAACCAGGAUUUAAGACAGGAGAGGAC